UGGUGUUCCAGAUAUCUUCUAUGCUGAUAAUGUUCCCUAUAACAGUAUAGAAUUUAGAAAUUUUACUAAAUCAUGGAAUUUUUAUUUGGAGUUUUCUAUCCUUUUUUAUCACCAGUCAAAUAGUUUUGCAGAGAAGUAUGAAUGAAUAUCUCUAAAAACAUGCUUAAAAAAAUUUAUAAUGUUUUCGAUGCAUCGAUUUAUAUCGCAUAUCCCUAGUCCUGUCGAGAGAUAUAAAAAAGAAGAAGAUAGCACAGUAAAAAAAAAUAUGUUAGCAUGAAAACCUGAUAAUGAAAGUGCUAACAAAUAAAACUACUAGUAAAUAAAUAUAGUUUUAAUAAAACAUAUAAAAAAAAAAAGAAAUUGAACAAUAAACAACGAAGCAACAUGAAACAGUUGAUUGACUUGUAUGCAAAAUACAGGAAUGAAGUUUGUACUUUGUACUUUUGUACUUUUUAUAUACUUUUUCAUUGAAAAAAGUAGUGUCGAAAAAAUGCAGUAGAAUUUUUAAAAAAAGUGUAUUAUUCCAAAAGGAAACAGCAGAAUUUAAAAAAAAUUAUUAUUUCAAAAGGAAACAGCAGAAACAAGUGAUGCGUACUAUUUAUAGUAAUAAUUAAGUUCGGUGGGUGUACAAGAAGAGAAGUUGCCAAUUCGAGAAACUUAUGAGAAUGGGGACUUGGUUGGAAUGCAAUACAUUAUUAUGAAACCCUAGCAUUAUUGAUACAUGCAUGGCCACAAGAGAAAUAGGGUACGAAAGAAUUAGGGUCGAGUAAUGAUGAGGUAACCGAAUGGAAAAAUUAUUUUAGGGAAUUGUUGCAAGAACCCAAAAAAACCAUAUAAAUUGAUGAGUCCUGUUUAUUCACAAACGAUAUACAAUUGAGGACGCAUCACUAGGUGUUUGUGGGAAUUUGUCAAGAGGAUGGGAAAUGUUUUUGUUUGCCGUGCCUUUCAGGAGAAAAAAAGUGUGGCUUUAUAUUAUUGGCCAGUACUUAGAACCCGGAACUACUAUUAUGUCUGAUGUGUGGAAUUCCAAUACCAAAACUACAAAAGUAGAAGAUGAAUUUUAUACACUUCACUGUUAAUAAGGAAACUGGAGCACAUACAUAAAGAGCAAAGAUAAGGUUGAAGUAGUAACUUGAAACUGAUUUGCCAACUAAAAUGUUAAAAUGCAAAUAGUAGAAAACAAGAUUAAUCGCAAUGAGUAUUUGCUCUUUGGAUGGAUCUAUAUGACUUGAUAAUCUUACUAAUCUCCUUUUAUUCAAUAUGUAGUAAGAAAGCUGCAAAUAAUUAUUUGUAUAGCUUCAGUACAAAUGUGCGCUGUGAGGUCGAGAGUUGGUUUCCUUCGAUUAAUUUCCUUCCAGACUCCAAAAUACAAGAACAAUGAAAAGGAAUUGACCGGCUGACUUAAGAAAUGGUUAAAAUGGAGUGGAGAAGUCAUUAUCACGAUAGAUGAGAGCAAAAAAUGGAUUCACUAUGUAAAUUUGUACCGUUUGAAGGUGUUUUGGAGGUUAGUAUAUUUCCUGUGAUCUCAUAUUUUUAUUCUUAGUUCUUUCAUUAGCUCUAUUCACCAUAGUUUUUUCUCAGUUUUCAAUGGAGUAGUGUACAUAUCUUCAUUCUUAUAAUAUAUACUAAAUCAAUUCAGCUGUAUCUUGUCUCAAUUUUUAUUGAUUUUUGUUUUAAUAAUUUUUCAAUUUCUAUAUUCUUUGUUUUAUCCUAAUUAAUUUUCUUUCGAAUGUUUAAUUAUCAUUGGUUAAGAUAUGUUUUCUCUUUAUUGUCAUAUAUUCUGCUGUGUAGGUUAUAGUUGGUACUGUUGUAAAUUUAUUUGUUCUUUUAGCUGGUUUUCUGUCUUCUGUUGGUACCAUGCUAAGGUAUCCUGAUGUCGUUAUUCUCCCUGAAGUUUUAGCUUCAGAUUUGGUUUCUUUUGAUUUACAUUUAUUAUUUCAACUUUAGUUUUGUUAUUUUUCUUAUUUCUAAGGAUCAGACAUCCAUUAAUUUUUGUAUUCUAUUUUUAAAAUUUACUAUAACAUUAUAUCGUCUGCAAAUAUCAGCAUUUUUAUAGGUUAUGUUUUUAUAUUCAAUUGUAUUCAGAUCUUCACAUUUUUUUAAUAUAUUUGAAUCUAUCUCUCCUAGGAGUGACCAUCCCAAAUGAUCUUGCGGGCCAAGAAAAUAGAAAAAAAAGCCAAUCUGUAUACAAAUAAUACAAUAAGUUAUUGUGUUGAUAUUUCGGCGAGCCACACAUAAAAUUAUAUUAGUAUUAAUAUAAAUAAAUACCAAAAACUUGGGAGUUAACAUUUUAAACAGAAUUAAUUAUUAUUAUAAAAUAACUUGUAGUAUUUAAUAAUUUCCCUAUUUAGUCAUUUGGUGAGAUAUUUGUUUCUCGAAUUUUCACUAAGCUUUUGUAAAUCAGCAAAAAUGCUUGUAUUUUCAGAUUUUUCAAAAGUGAAAACAAUACUAUUUGCUCGUAUAUGUUUUUUUCAGAUUAGAUUAUUAUUUUUACUUUUGUUGCGAUUCCGCGUUUUCAGGCAUUCCAGAAUAGACUAUUGGAACAAUAAUAAUUUUUUUUUAAAUGUUUGAUAAAUUUUUAAACCACCAAACUCUCCCAGGCAAGCAGCGGGUUGGCCAUCCCUAGCCAAAGAACACCUCUGAGAUGAAGAGGAGGCGCUCCAUUAUGUUAGAAACAAAGAAAUCUAAACAAAAUGAGUAUUUACAUAUUGUAGUCUAUGAGUUCUUAGCCUAACAUAGAAAAGAAUAAUUUAAUAAAAUAAAACCAAUAUUAUAUCAUUAUAAAAUCAGUAUAAACAAAGUGACUCAUUUUAUUUUCUCAGCAUGUUGAUACCAACGCAACGGUUGUAAUAAAAACAUUUUCCUACUUUCCUCACAUCGAUGGUCAAUAUAUAUUUGCCUUUAUCUGGCAAUAAAAAAAUAAUUGAAAAUUGUCAAAUAUUGUAGGGGAUAUCUCGUUUAAAAUAUACAAUUUUUUUAUAUUCUUUGGAACUACAUUUGGCAUUUGCUGGUCUGUCGACGAUAUUAUAUAACCAAAAUGCUGCUACUCUAUUUCACAGGUUAACAUAUUUACGUGUGUACUCUGUAUUUAACUAUUGCAUAUUGUAGAAAGUGAAGGUAAUAAAAUAUGUGAUUACAAUAUACAUUUUUCUUCCCAUACAAACUUUGAGGUAUUUGUUUAAUGAACAAGACAACAUUUUAAAUAAAUAUUUUUUUAAACACAUCAAAAGGCUUAGUAGCUGAGUAUAAAUAAAGAAAG